rnacentral:rRNA from 1 species
GACGAACGCUGGCGGCGUGCUUAACACAUGCAAGUCGAACGGUAAGGCCCUUCGGGUACACGAGUGGCGAACGGGUGGGUAACACGUGGGUGAUCUGCCCUGCACUUCGGGAUAAGCCUGGGAAACUGGGUCUAAUACCGGAUAGGACUCCUGGCUUCAUGGUUGGGGGUGGAAAGCUUUUGCGGUGUGGGAUGGGCCCGCGGCCUAUCAGCUUGUUGGUGGGGUAAUGGCCUACCAAGGCGACGACGGGUAGCCGGCCUGAGAGGGUGACCGGUCACACUGGGACUGAGAUACGGCCCAGACUCCUACGGGAGGCAGCAGUGGGGAAUAUUGCACAAUGGGCGCAAGCCUGAUGCAGCGACGCCGCGUGAGGGAUGACGGCCUUCGGGUUGUAAACCUCUUUCAGCUAUGACGAAGCGCAAGUGACGGUAGUAGCAGAAGAAGGACCGGCCAACUACGUGCCAGCCGCCGCGGUAA